CCACGGCUUAUUAAACCUUUGGACAAAACAAAGUAUCUGUUAGAAAAGUAUUUAGACAGAUUCAGUGACAAUAGCACAGUUUGGAGGUUUACUUGAUAAGAAAAACGAGGGGACAAUUUGGAGACUUGCUUGGUGGAAUAAACAAGUAGAACAAGUCAUUUAAGGAUGGCAAAUAAGACCCACACGGCUCAAUAGUCUUAAAGACCCACACGGCUCAAUCAUCAUCAUCAUCAGAACUAGAGCAAACAAUGGAAAAUAAAUUCAUCAUAAACAAAACGAGAUUCAUC
rnacentral:lncRNA from 1 species